AGUUCUGGGGGUCGUCCGAUCCUGCAGAGACCGUCCAGGCUGGACUUGAACUCCUUCCUCGGCUGAAGUGAUCCUCCUGCCUCAGCGUCCUGAAUAGGUAGGACUACAACUGUGAGUCACUUUACUCAACCAGAAAUGGUGAAUGAUAAAAAAUGUUUAUAGAUCAUUGCUUCUAAAAAGACUAUAUUAGACACACUGUGGUACCCAAAACCAAAUGCUAGCUACUUUUUAACUCAAAAAUAAUUAGUCAGCUAAUGAUCUAUAUUUUGCUUUACAGUUUAACUUGACGAGUAGAAAAAUGUCAAGGUAUAAGACAAUGCAAAAUGUAGGGACAAAGAAGAAAACUUCCCCUUUCACCCUCUGAAGGUUUGCUGAAAAUGAACUGAAAAAGGCAGAGCAACAGGAGAAAAGGCAUGCGUUUAUUUUAACGUGCAUACCAUGGGGAAUUGCAGAAGAGUAAUGGCCUAAUAACCCAGCAGGGUCCAGAUGCCUGUCUACCCUCUCUUCUUAGGGAAGGCGGGGAUGAGGUGUGUAGGAGUAAAUGACAAAAGUUCCUCUGAGCUCUGGGGGAGGUGUUGGGAAGGUGAGG
rnacentral:lncRNA from 1 species